AUUGAACGCUGGCGGCAUGCCUUACACAUGCAAGUCGAACGGUAACAGGUCUUCGGAUGCUGACGAGUGGCGAACGGGUGAGUAAUACAUCGGAACGUGCCUAGUAGUGGGGGAUAACUACUCGAAAGAGUGGCUAAUACCGCAUGAGAUCUACGGAUGAAAGCAGGGGAUCGCAAGACCUUGUGCUACUAGAGCGGCCGAUGGCAGAUUAGGUAGUUGGUGGGUUAAAAGCUUACCAAGCCGACGAUCUGUAGCUGGUCUGAGAGGAGGAUCAGCCACACUGGGACGGAGACACGGCCCAGACUCCUACGGGAGGCAGCAGUGGGGAAUUUUGGACAAUGGGCGCAAGCCUGAUCCAGCAAUGCCGCGUGCAGGAUGAAGGCCUUCGGGUUGUAAACUGCUUUUGUACGGAACGAAAAGCCCUGGGUUAAUACCCUGGGGUCAUGACGGUACCGUAAGAAUAAGCACCGGCUAACUACGUGCCAGCAGCCGCGGUAAAAC
rnacentral:rRNA from 1 species